UACGGGGGGGGCAAGCGUUGUUCGGAAUUACUGGGCGUAAAGGGCUCGUAGGCGGCCAACUAAGUCAGACGUGAAAUCCCUCGGCUUAACCGGGGAACUGCAUCUGAUACUGGAUGGCUUGAGUUCGGGAGAGGGAUGCGGAAUUCCAGGUGUAGCGGUGAAAUGCGUAGAUAUCUGGAGGAACACCGGUGGCGAAGGCGGCAUCCUGGACCAACACUGACACUGAGGAGCGAAAGCCGAGG
rnacentral:rRNA from 1 species